GACGAACGCUGGCGGCGUGCUUAACACAUGCAAGUCGAACGGAAAGGCCCUGCUUGCAGGGUCCUCGAGUGGCGAACGGGUGAGUAACACGUGGGUGAUCUGCCCUGCACUUCUGGAUAAGCCUGGGCAACUGGGUCUAAUACCUGAUAGGAGCCAUUUUUAGUGUGAUGGUUGGAAAGUUUUUUCGGUGUAGGAUGAGCUCGCGGCCUAUCAGCUUGUUGGUGGGGUGAUGGCCUACCAAGGCGGCGACGGGUAGCCGGCCUGUGAGGGUGGACGGCCACAUUGGGACUGAGAUACGGCCCAGACUCCUACGGGAGGCAGAAGUGGGGAAUAUUGCACAAUGGGCGCAAGCCUGAUGCAGCGACGCCGCGUGGGGGAUGACGGCCUUCGGGUUGUAAACUCCUUUCGCUAGGGACGAAGCUUUUUGUGACGGUACCUAGAGAAGAAGCACCGGCUAACUACGUG
rnacentral:rRNA from 1 species